rnacentral:rRNA from 1 species
UACGUAGGCAGCGAGCGUUGUUCGGAGUUACUGGGCGUAAAGCGUGCGUAGGCGGUGGUCCAAGUCUGGUGUGAAAUCUCCCGGCUCAACUGGGAGGGUGCGCCGGAAACUGGGCCGCUGGAGUAUGGGAGAGGCAAGCGGAAUUCCAGGUGUAGCGGUGAAAUGCGUAGAUAUCUGGAGGAACACCCGUGGCGAAGGCGGCUCUCUGGGACGGUACUGACGCUGAGACGCGAAAGCGUGGGGAGCGAACAGG